AUACUUACCUUCACCGGAGAUACCGUGAUACACGAAGGCGGUUCUCCCGGGGCGAGGGCUCACCAUUGCACUCCCGGGGCGCUGACCCUGCGUUAACCCAAAUGUGGUUAAUCGAGUGCGCAAUUUUUGUAGCGGGGGACUGCUUCGCGCUAUCCCCCU